rnacentral:rRNA from 1 species
UACGUAGGGUGCGAGCGUUGUCCGGAGUACUGGGCGUAAAGCGCACGCAGGCGGUCUCUUAAGUUUGGAGUGACAGUUGGUGGCUUAACUGCCAAAGUGCUUCGAAAACUGAGAGACUUGAGGGCUUCAGAGGGACACGGAAUUCCGGGUGGAGUGGUGAAAUGCGCAGAUAUCAGGAGGAACACCGAUGGCGAAGGCAGUGUUCUGGGCCAGUACUGACGCUGAGGAGCGAAAGCGUGGGUAGCAAACAGG